rnacentral:rRNA from 1 species
UACAGAGGUCCCGAGCGUUGUUCGGAUUUAUUGGGCGUAAAGGGUGCGUAGGUGGCAAAGUAAGUUGGAUGUGAAAUCCUGGGGCUUAACCUCAGAAUUGCAUUCAAUACUGCUUAGCUAGAGAGCUGUAGAGGAGACUGGAAUUUACGGUGUAGCAGUGAAAUGCGUAGAGAUUACAUGGAAUACCAAUUGCGAAGGCAGGUUACUACUAGUGGAUUGACGCUGAUGGACGAAAGCGUGGGGAGCGAACAGG